rnacentral:rRNA from 1 species
ACGAACGCUGGCGGCACGCUUAACACAUGCAAGUCGAACGGCAAGGUAACUUCGGUUACCCUAGAGUGGCGGACGGGUGAGUAACGCGUGGGAACCUACCCUUUAGUUCGGGACAACCAUGGGAAACUAUGGCUAAUACCGAAUAUUCUCGAGAGAGGAAAGAUUUAUUGCUAAAGGAUGGGCCCGCGUAGGAUUAGGUAGUUGGUAGGGUAAUGGCCUACCAAGCCUGCGAUCUUUAGCUGGUCUGAGAGGAUGGCCAGCCACACUGGGACUGAGACACGGCCCAGACUCCUACGGGAGGCAGCAGUGGGGAAUAUUGGACAAUGGGGGAAACCCUGAUCCAGCGAUGCCGCGUGAGUGAAGAAGGCCUUCGGGUUGUAAAGCUCUUUCACCUGAGACGAUAAUGACGGUAUCAGGAGAAGAAGCACCGGCUAACUCUGU